UUGUGGCCACAUCACCUUGGAACACCGGUUCCCAUACGAUCACCGAAGAUAAGCAAGGGUCGAGCCGGGUCAUUACUUAGAUGGGUGUCCGCUUAGUAAUACCAGGUGCUGUAAG